GAUGAAGAACGCAGCGAAAUGCGAUAAGUAAUGUGAAUUGCAGAGUUCAGUGAAUCAUCGAAUCUUUGAACGCACAUUGCGCCCGCCAGCACUCUGGCGGGCAUGCCUGUCCGAGCGUCAUUUCAACCCUCAGGGCCCCUUCGGGGGACCUGGCGUUGGGGAUCGGCCCGCCCCCGUGCGGCGCCGUCCCCGAAAUAUAGUGGCGGUCUCGCUGCAGCCUCCCCUGCGUAGUAGCACACCUCGCACUGGAGAGCGGCGCGGCCACGCCGUGAAACCCCCAACUUCUGAAUGUUGACCUCGGAUCAGGUAGGAAUACCCGCUGAACUUAAGCAUAUCAAUAAGCGGAGGA
rnacentral:misc_RNA from 1 species